UACGUAGGGUGCGAGCGUUAAUCGGAAUUACUGGGCGUAAAGCGUGCGCAGGCGGUUUUGUAAGCCAGAUGUGAAAUCCCCGGGCUUAACCUGGGAAUGGCAUUUGGGACUGCAAGGCUCGAGUGCGGCAGAGGAGACUGGAAUUCCUGGUGUAGCAGUGAAAUGCGUAGAUAUCAGGAGGAACACCGAUGGCGAAGGCAGGUCUCUGGGCUGACACUGACGCUCAUGCACGAAAGCAUGGGGAGCGAACAGG
rnacentral:rRNA from 1 species